CCUACGGGUGGCAGCAGUGAGGAAUAUUGGUCAAUGGACGAGAGUCUGAACCAGCCAAGUAGCGUGAAGGAUGACUGCCCUAUGGGUUGUAAACUUCUUUUAUAUGGGAAUAAAAUGUUCCACGUGUGGGAUUUUGUAUGUCCCAUAUGAAUAAGGCUCGGCUAACUCCGUGCCAGCAGCCGCGGUAAUACGGAGGAUCCGGGCGUUAUCCGGGUUUAUUGGGGUUAAAGGGCGCGUAGGUGGAUUGUUAAGUCAGUUGUGAAAGUUUGCGGCUCAACCGUAAAAUUGCAGUUGAAACUGGUAGUCUUGAGUACAGUAGAGGUGGGCGGAAUGCGUGGUGUAGCGGUGAAAUGCUUAGAUAUCACGAAGAACUCCGAUUGCGAAGGCAGCCCACUGGACUGCAACUGACACUGAGGCGCGAAAGUGUGGGUAUCAAACAGGAUUAGAUACCCCAGUAGUC
rnacentral:rRNA from 1 species